AGGAUGAACGCUGGCGGCGUGCCUAACACAUGCAAGUCGAACGUCCUGUCUCGCAAGAGGCAGGGAGUGGCGGACGGGUGAGUACCACGUGGGUUAUCUACCGUGAGGUGAGGAAUACCGGCGAGAAAUCGCCGACAAGACCGCAUAGGCUCGGUGCAAGUCGAGGAAAGCUCUCUCGAGAGAGGGAGCGCCACACGAGGAGCCUGCGCCCGAUUAGCUAGCUGGUGGAGUAAUGGUUCACCAGGGCGACGAUCGGUAGCUGGUCUGAGAGGACGAUCAGCCAUACUGGGAUUGAGAACGGCCCAGACUCCUACGGGGGGCAGCAGUGAGGAAUUUUCCGCAAUGGGGGCAACCCUGACGGAGCAACGCCGCGUGCAGGAGGACGCUUUUCGGAGUGUAAACUGCUUUUCUCGAGGAGAAACCGGACGGUACUCGAGGAAGAAGCCCCGGCUAACUACGUGCCAGCAGCCGC
rnacentral:rRNA from 1 species